rnacentral:rRNA from 1 species
UACAGAGGGUGCGAGCGUUAAUCGGAAUUACUGGGCGUAAAGCGCGCGUAGGCGGCUUUGCAAGUCGGGUGUGAAAUCCCCAGGCUUAACCUGGGAACUGCAUUCGAGACUGCAUUGCUAGAGUAUGGGAGAGGGAAGUGGAAUUUCCGGUGUAGCGGUGAAAUGCGUAGAUAUCAGGAAGAACACCAAUGGCGAAAGCAGCUUUCUGGGACGGUACUGACGCUGAGACGCGAAAGCGUGGGGAGCGAACAGG